GUAAGAAAACCACAUUUCAAACCCGAAUUUCGGUUGGAAGUUGCACAAUUAGUUGUUGAUAAAGGUUACUCCGUUCGUGAAGCUGCCGAAGCGAUGAAUGUAGGU
rnacentral:sRNA from 1 species